CUACUAAAAAAAAGAAAGAUAUCACAACAUCCUUACAUGGUUAAAAGAGAUUACAAAAUGUUUGGGCUCUACAAAUAUUUGUUGCAAAUGCUAAAGGGACACUGUAGGCACCCAGAACACUUAAUCUAAUUGAAGUAGUCUGUGACCCUUUUGCACUUAGUGCUGCAAUGUAAAAGAUUGCAGUUCCAGAGAAGUGCAAUGUUUACAUUGCAGCUCUAAGUCUGCCCUCUGUGGCCGUCUACCAGACAGCUACUAGAGGGCUUCCGGAAUCCAAACAGACUUUUGGCCCGUUAUCUGACGCUGGAUGUCCUCACGGACCUCCAGUGUCAGAUUUUCCCCAUAGGGGGAAGGAACACCGGCGGAGCCUGACCCAACGCAGAAGAACAUCGGCGCUAAAUUCAGGU